rnacentral:rRNA from 1 species
GGUUCAGGACGAACGCUGGCGGCGUGCCUAACACAUGCAAGUCGAGCGGGGACAUUACGACGGACCUGAAGAUUUCGGUUGGAUGGAAAGAUGUAGUGUUCUAGCGGCGGACGGGUGAGUAACGCGUGAGCAACCUGUCCCUUACAGGGGGAUAACACAGCGAAAGUUGUACUAAUACCGCAUGAGACCACAGAGUCACAUGGCUCAGGGGGUCAAAGGAGCAAUCCGGUAAGGGGUGGGCUCGCGUCCCGAUUAGAUAGUUGGUGAGGUAACGGCCCACCAAGUCGACGAUCGGUAGCCGACCUGAGAGGGUGAUCGGCCACAUUGGGACUGAGACACGGCCCAAACUCCUACGGGAGGCAGCAGUGGGGAAUAUUGGGCAAUGGGGGAAACCCUGACCCAGCAACGCCGCGUGAGGGAAGAAGGUUUUCGGAUCGUAAACCUCUGUCCUAUGUGAAGAGAAAGAGACGGUAGCAUAGGAGGAAGCCCCGGCUAACUACGUGCCAGCCGCAGC